rnacentral:lncRNA from 13 species
AUUCUUGGCACAGCCAUCAGGUGGCAGUUGGCUUAGAAUGUCCUGCAUUUUAGGCAUCUCAAGGGCCAAGCAGACCCCUGGUCCCUCAGGGUGGUCACUGGUCAUGGGGGUGUUCACUGCCAGGCAGCUGGCAGUGUGAAGCUGCUGGGGAGGAUGGCCAGACAUUUGAAUUUAUUCAUCAGGGAGGCUUUGUUUGCAGGAAGGUGCCAUAUUUUAGGUCAAGAAUUAAAAUCUAGAGACAGAAGUUUUGUUUGAAUGAUUUGAGCUCUUCUCUGGACUUAGCCACCUCCUGGCAUCCACCUUCCUGAAGAGAAAGGGAGUGAAAAGAACUCCUGGUUCAGGGUCCAGGCCGGGAUUUAGAGGUCUCAGUUCCCAGAAUGUUGCCCCUAAGAGGCAGAAGAGAGUCCUCCAAGAUUUCAGCAGCAAAAAUGGCCACAGCGAAUGUACCAUCCCAUACCAUAUGUUCGUCCUCACACUGCCAGUCUGCCACCUGGAGUCACUAGGAGGUCCCCCCAAAAAAGGUACAUAUUCUGGACGCACUCUUUUUCUAAGAAAAAAAUCUUCAUUGUUGAGAAAGGUUGAACUUACUGUUCCGCUUUUGCUGGAGAGCCACUUUGGAUUGAGCUUUCUGCCAGACAUGAGGUUUGGACAGGUUGGUGUAAACAACGUGAAGAAUCUAGUAAAGAACUGUGACCAUCUCAAUCUAGUCCCUGAAGUAGUGGCGUCAUUUAGAUGGAAGAGGAUGGUGUGCAUCACGGCUGGGAAGUGGAGGAGAGAGUUCGUGUAAAGUGAUCAAAAGUGUCUUUGGGAGCCUGUGCGCAUUUCCCCAGAAAGCACGUUUCCAUGUGCAAAGCCCAACACAAGGAUUACUGUUCUAAACACAAAAUGCAUCACCACUGCACACUUCACGUCAAUCAGCCCUUCCAUCCUCCAUGGCAGCUUACCUAAAGGUAAGUUUCAUGUCCUCACUCCUCAGGUGGAGAUGCUGUGGAGAUAAAUUUUUCAAGCUCUUGGGCUCCUACACUGAAGAGGCAAAUGUGAACUCAAGAAUGGGUGAAACAUUGAUGCGAUGGCUACUGUUGUGCACUUGGCAGACAGCACUGGCAUAACUCAUCACCGUGCCAGGGAGUUCAAGCACCUAUGUGUGCAUGUGCGCGUGUGAUGGCCUGUAGAGAUUUUACACACUGUCAUCACAGGACGGUCUUAGUGGUCACCUACCCCAGGGUGGGAACAGCUACAUUUUACAGUGGAAUCCGGCGUGGUCAUUAAUGUGAAGCACACUUGCAGGGCUCAGAGGGUUUUGGUGCCACGAUAGGUUAAUUCUCAGCUCCUGGCCAAAAGCAGAGAAUAAUCAGGGACAUAUUCUGUUUUAUUUAAGAACAUAAUAACCAUAAGGCUUAGAAAUGCUCUGGUUCAGUAGCACACACACCUCAGGCACAGCCUCAGACAGGAGCUCCAGGAACAACUUGGGCUUUAGCCUGGUGCCCAUCUCCCCUGCUGGAACCUCCUGCACAGCUGGGUUGGAGAGGGUCAGCGCCACCACCUGCUGCCCGCAGGACAGGCUGUCCCAGUGUCAGAGCCAGUGAGAGCCUGAGCAGUAAUGGACUCCCUGGACACAUGUUGUGUUGAAAAGGGAGACUGGAAGGAC